AUGGCAGGGCCUAAUAGGUUAGCUAAGAUCCUGCAUAUUUGAAACAGGACACAAUGGAUACACCUUGAGCUUGAAUAUUUUAGCUCAAUGCCAUCUACUCAGUUCCUGUCUUCCUUACGUAGAGAUUUAAAACAGUAAACCAAGUCUCAUAACUCAUCAUCUUCUUCUUCUUCUUUUAACAAUACAUCUCCUCACACGUUCCCAGUAAGAGCUUCAAUCUAAAAGAAAUUGAACAACUCUUGUUUCUGCAAUUAAAUUCAAGUGGAUGGACUACGAUACCACUCCCAUUUGUCAUUGACUUCUGAAUUGUCAUCCAUUGUCAA
rnacentral:misc_RNA from 1 species